UACGUAGGCAGCGAGCGUUGUUCGGAGUUACUGGGCGUAAAGGGUGUGUAGGCGGUUGCUUAAGUUUGGUGUGAAAUCUCCCGGCUCAACCGGGAGGGUGCGCCGAAUACUGAGUGACUAGAGUGCGGGAGAGGAAAGUGGAAUUCCUGGUGUAGCGGUGAAAUGCGUAGAUAUCAGGAGGAACACCGGUGGUGUAGACGGCUUUCUGGACCGUAACUGACGCUGAGACACGAAAGCGUGGGUAGCAAACAGG
rnacentral:rRNA from 1 species